GGGAAGGUUCAGGCUGGAGAGGUAUUUUGUGAAUCGCCUGUUUAUAGAUGUAGUAGAAGCUGAUGUGGAUGAGCAGUAGGAAGAAAGACCUGAUGAUGGGAACCUCUGGGGACCCCCUUGGAUCCAUUAAAGAGGGACUACACACCUGUUCUUGAUCAUCCACCAUGGCAUCACACAGCAAGAAAGGGACAAUUCACUACAGGGAAAUCAGAAUGAUACUGGGAGAAUGGAUGCUGGAUGGCUGGACCCAACACAUACACACACACCCCUACAUACUUAUGCAUGCAUAUCUACAGGUCAUGGAUCUGCUCUGCCUGUCCUCCAAUGUGUGAAAACAGUUGUUUCUUAUAUUUUGUCUCUUUUUCUAGCUGUUUAAGGCUGGAGCCAGCUAAGGAGCAGGUGCAGCCAAGUGCAGCUGGAAACUUUGGACUACCUGAUGCUUCCCUGGUGCUCAGGAGCUGCUGCGGCUGCCUCCCUCUUUUGAUUCUUUGGCUGCCAUUUUAAAGGGUCACCACCAUCCUUAGAUCCAGGUGUCCUUCUGGGGUCUUAUGAAGAUGAUGACAGCAUGGUGGCCCUCUGUGAUGUCAACUUGGCCCAUGGGCAGUGAGCACCCUUGUCCACCACAGGAGGAAGUGUGGCUUGCUUCCACUGCACUUCUCUUUUCUUACUCAGGCAGCUCUAACCAGUCCCUCACCUUACAUCCUUGCAGGUGAGAAUCAAGUACCAACUUCCGUGUUCUUCCAGGUUUUGGGGACAUGUGUCAAGCUGUCUUCCUCUGGUCUCACAGAAGUCCUUUCACUGGCCUCUCUCUCCUCUUAAAGCAUUU